rnacentral:rRNA from 1 species
UACACACCGCCCGUCACACCAUGGGAGUUGGCUUUACCUGAAGGCGGUGCGCUAACCCGCAAGGGAGGCAGCCGACCACGGUAGGGUCAGCGACUGGGGUGA